UGAGAACUUCCAGUCAUCCUUUUGACUGGAAGAUGCCUAGAGGAAAGAAAGAGCAUCUUGACAAAGGAAAAAGAAAAAGAAGGAUUAAAAAUAAUUGUUGUGGUUGUUGUUUUGCUAGGACAAUUCCUGGAAAGAAAGGGCCACUUGCACACCGUUCAAAGCUGCUUUUGAGCAUAAGUAAAGAUAAAAGAAAAGGUUGGAAUCAUUUUUUUGAGAGCAUUGCCUAAGAACAAAAACAAAUUCUAGUUUAAAGCAAAAAGUUGUUCUAUAAAUUAGAACUGUAUCCAGAAGCGUUGUUUCAAGAGGUUAUUAUAGCACUUCACAACAACCAAUUUCUGCAAUUCUCCAAAUUUAUUUACCAACAUAUUUCCUUUGGAUUCAAUGAGUACUCAAGGAGCCUCAUUGUUGUCAUCAUCAUCUUCUUCUUCAAGACGAUGGAUAUAUGACGUUUUCCUUAGUUUCAGAGGCGAGGACACACGCAAUAGUUUUACUGACCAUCUAUAUACUGCUUUGCAACGUUCGGGUAUUUCUACCUUUA